rnacentral:rRNA from 1 species
UCCUGACUGACCGAUAGUGAACCAGUACCGUGAGGGAAAGGCGAAAAGAACCCCGGCGAGGGGAGUGAAAAAGAACCUGAAACCGUGUACGUACAAGCAGUGGGAGCACGCUUAGGCGUGUGACUGCGUACCUUUUGUAUAAUGGGUCAGCGACUUAUAUUCUGUAGCAAGGUUAACCGAAUAGGGGAGCCGAAGGGAAACCGAGUCUUAACUGGGCGUUAAGUUGCAGGGUAUAGACCCGAAACCCGGUGAUCUAGCCAUGGGCAGGUUGAAGGUUGGGUAACACUAACUGGAGGACCGAACCGACUAAUGUUGAAAAAUUAGCGGAUGACUUGUGGCUGGGGGUGAAAGGCCAAUCAAACCGGGAGAUAGCUGGUUCUCCCCGAAAGCUAUUUAGGUAGCGCCUCGUGAAUUCAUCUCCGGGGGUAGAGCACUGUUUCGGCAAGGGGGUCAUCCCGACUUACCGACCCGAUGCAAACUGCGAAUACCGGAGAAUGUUAUCACGGGAGACACACGGC